rnacentral:rRNA from 1 species
CCUCCUUUUUCUCGCUUUUCUCGGAAUUACUGGGCGUAAAGCGCACGUAGGCGGCUUUCUAAGUCGGGGGUGAAAUCCUGGAGCUCAACUCCAGAACUGCCUUCGAUACUGGAGAGCUUGAGUCCGGGAGAGGUGAGUGGAACUGCGAGUGUAGAGGUGAAAUUCGUAGAUAUUCGCAAGAACACCAGUGGCGAAGGCGGCUCACUGGCCCGGUACUGACGCUGAGGUGCGAAAGCGUGGGGAGCAAACAGGA